AUUGAACGCUAGCGGCAUGCCUAACACAUGCAAGUCGAACGAGUGGCGGACGGGUGAGUAAUGUAUGGGAAACUGCCCAAUAGAGGGGGAUAACUACUGGAAAGGGUGGCUAAUACCGCAUACUAUCGGAUGAGCCCAUAUGGGAUUAGCUAGUAGGUGGGGUAAAGGCUCACCUAGGCAACGAUCCCUAGCUGGUCUGAGAGGAGGACCAGCCAACCUGGGACUGAGACACGGGCCAGACUCCUACGGGAGGCAGCAGUGGGGAAUAUUGGACAAUGGGGGCAAGCCUGAUGCCGCCAUGCCGCGUGUAUGAUGAAGGCCUUCGGGUUGUAAAGUACUUUCAGCAGGGAGGCGUUACCCGCAGAAGAAGCACCGGCUAACUCCGUGCCAGCAGCCGCGGUAAUAC
rnacentral:rRNA from 1 species